UUCUGGGGGACUUGACACCUGUCUGACAGUCUCUCUCUUUGACUCGUAGAGCUUUGAUCAGGAUAAGAGGUUCACUCGGACACAUUCCUCUUCAGUUUGCAGCUGAAGCUACAUUUUGAAUGAUGGAUUGUUCAGAGGAGGUUCAGUCUGUGUGUGAGGAGCCCGGCGCUCAGAUCGAGCUCAAAAAGGGAAUGUCGAUCUUCAUUGAUAUUUUACGGCGAGCUGAUAAAAACGACGACGGGAAACUAUCCUUUGAUGAAUUCAAAGCCUACUUCUCUGAUGGAGUCUUGACAGCUGACGAGUUGAAGGAGCUCUUCCACACAAUUGACACCCAUAACACAGACAAUGUGGACACUGAUGAACUCUGUGAGUAUUUCUCGCAGCACCUCAGUGAAUAUGAAAACGUUCUCGGUGCCUUAGAGGACCUGAACAUGGCAAUACUAAAGGCCAUGGACAAAACAAAGAAGGAUUAUCAGGAGUCCACCCACCUGGAGCAGUUUGUGACCCGUUUCCUGCUGAAGGAGACAACCAAUCAGCUUCAUUCGCUUCAAAGCUCACUUGAGUGUGCCAUGGAAACCACCGCGGAGCAGACUCGACAAGAGAAGCAGGGCCCGUUGAAGCCAGAGGUUUUGUCCAUCCAGUGGUCGGGCCGUCGAUCCAAUCGGAGACUUCAGAAGAACAGCAGCCUCUCCCCGAACAACCCACUCCUCAGUCUUGUCAAUUCAGGUGUUUAUGAUGAAGACAGCCAGUGGAUGAUCCAGGUCAACAGACUGCAGAAGCUUAUCGACCGUCUAGAGCAAAGGGAGAUUCGUCUGGAGCCAGUUGAAGAGGAGGUCUUAGAGAGCAAAUCGCACAUCCUGAUCGUCCAGAGGCAGCUGUGCGUGCUGGAGGAGGAGCUGGAGGAGUUUCGUUUGGCUCUCAGACAGUACAUGGAGUGUUCCUGUGCGCAGACUGGAUGUCUACACAUCGCAGUUCAGCGACUGGCAAAUGAAUCACGCUUCAUUCUCUAUGAAUUCUGGGAGCACAACAACGUGUGGAAGAAUCACCUGCAGACCAACUACAGUAAGACCUUCCAGAGGGCGAAUGUGGACUUCCUGGAAACCCCUGAGAGCUUAACCACCAUGCUGGUUCCUGCCUCAUGGUGGGUCCUCAACAACAACUGAAAAUAAAAGAGCAUCCCUCACAGAUUGUCACCGAUGUGAGCAGCCCGUCAACACAUCAGGAAGGCUCACACAGCACCCUUACACCGCACCCUCUCUCACACACACACACACACACACACACACACACACACACAUACACACACAAACAAGCACACACACAUAAGCACACACCGACUCGACACAACGUGUGAAGUCAUGGUGAUGAGUAUCAAUUUUGUGACCUCCAUGUUCCUUCAUAGUAAAGUGGUAGCUGAAAUAGCCAUGUGUGUGUGUGUGUGUGUGUGUGUGUGUGUCUGUGUGUGUGUGUGUGUGCAGGAGUUAGUGUGUGUUUUGUUACACUCUUAGACGACACUCUGACAUCCUAAAAGCAAUGACCUAGUAUUGUGAUGAUGUGACAUCAUAGCUGUGUUUGACGUGACAUCAUCAGCAGCCCAUUGUAGAUCAAGACGUGUGUGUGUGUGUGUGUGUGUGUGUGUGUGUGUGUGUGUGUGUGUGCGUGUGUGUGUGUGUGUGUGUG